GGGGGGGGGGGGGGGGGGGGGGGGGGGGGGGGGGGGGGGGGGGGGGGGCGGGCGGGGGGGGGGGGCGCGGGGGGCGAAGGGGUGAGGAAGGCGGGAGGAGCCUGCGCUGGAGUGUGGGAUGACGGCAGGGAACUGGGGAGGGUGCGGGAGAGGAGCGCCUGCGGCAGGGUGGGGGGGGGAAAGUUGCGGGGGUUGGGGAUGGACUCGGGGCUGAUCAGCUUGUGGGUGGGGUAGUGGGUUGCCAAGGCUUUGACGGGUAGCCGGCCUGAGAGGGUGACCGGCCACAUUGGGACUGAGAUACGGCCCAGACUCCUACGGGAGGCAGCAGUGGGGAAUAUUGCACAAUGGGCGGAAGCCUGAUGCAGCAACGCCGCGUGCGGGAUGACGGCCUUCGGGUUGUAAACCGCGUUCGCCUGUGACGAAGCGUGAGUGACGUUAAUGGGUAAAGAAGCACCGGCUAACUACGUG
rnacentral:rRNA from 1 species